AACCUCUGCAAUAAGCGAAAGCUUGACAGGGUUACUCUGAGUGAUUUCCGCUAAGGAAGUCUUUUGGCACCUUGGUGCAGAAUAAGGGGUGGCAAGCUGGUGUCAGCCGCCGCGGUAAUACCAGCACCCCGAGUGGUCGGGACGAUUAUUGGGCCUAAAGCAUCCGUAGCCGGUUCUACAAGUCUUCCGUUAAAUCCACCUGCUUAACAGAUGGGCUGCGGAAGAUACUAUAGAGCUAGGAGGCGGGAGAGGCAAGCGGUACUCGAUGGUAGGGUAAAAUCCACUGAUCCAUUGAAGACCACCAUGGCGAAGCGGCUUGCCAGAACGCCUCGACGGUGAGGGAUGAAACUGGGGGGAGCAAACCGGAUUAGAUACCCGGGUAGUCCCAGCUGUAAACGAUGCAGACUCGGUGAUGAGCAGUGCCGCAGGG
rnacentral:rRNA from 1 species